rnacentral:snRNA from 1 species
GGAUGUGAGGGUGAUCUAGCUGUGACAUCUGUCCUCCCAUUGAUCGCCAGGGUUGUUGUGGCUGAUCUGGCUGGCUAGGCGGUGUCCCCUUCCUCCCUCACCGCUCCAUGUGCGUCCCUUCCACAGCCGCGCACUCAGUGGAAGAGGAUGACCUUCCCUGAUAGAGCAGCGUCGUUCUUCUAUUGAGGGUGUAUGAGUAGCUGCACUCCCCUGCUAGAAUCUUCAAACACGCUCUCAAAAAUAGGUCAGUAGUCAGCAAAUAUCACUGUAGAAGCUGGGCUGAAGGCAAUAGGAAUGGGUUUAAAUAGAGAUAACAGUUU